AGGCAGCAGCAUGGUCACCAGGUGCCCAUCAUCAGGAGGCAGAGAAAGAAUACCGCUCAUGCUAGGCUAGCUUCUGCCUUUCUGUGAAUCCGGGAGCCAUGUUCAGAGAAUGGGGCUGCCCUCCUUCACCAUGGGUCGUUCUUCAACAAGAAGAAGAUAACCCCCAACAGCAUGCCCAGCAGCUAACUCAGUCUAAACAACCCCUACAUAACCACACACUCAGGCCUGGAAGCUCGUCUCCUAGGGGAUUCCGGAUGCAGUCAACCUGGAGUCACAUAACCAUCACCGAUAGAUGUAUUGAUUAAAUUGGGAGGGACCAUAGACAGGUCACACAUUCGUUUUGUGACUGUGUCAAAUGAAUCAUAUUCUGCAUAGAAAGGCUGUGGGUUGUGAUACCUCAGCCCUGGGAGGGGCCUUCAGGCUGCUGCUCUCUGUAAACACACCUUGGCGUAGAGGGGUUAAGGAGAACAUUUUGCAUGGAGUCGGAUUGCCAAGGAAGAAAGCUCAGCUCAGUCCUGAGUUAGCUGUGCCGCAUACUUAAUACUGAGGAAUCUGUCUCCUCAAUGGGACAAUUAGCGUGCUUUCACUUGGUCUCAUUAACGCCUCACCUUCAAGAUUAAAGAAGAUGUAAACGCAUGCAAAGAAUCCAGUAAUGUGCCAGACACACGGUAAUUAAUCUCAACCUCAUUCCUUCUCCCUCUCUUAACCAAGACUACUGAUAGUAAUUAUUAGAGACUUGUAAAUACGAGGGCGGGAACACUGAAACACAAUUUUUAUUCCUGCUAUUAAAGUUGAAAUUCUGUGUAUGU
rnacentral:lncRNA from 1 species